AUGGCUCGGAGGACAAAAGGAAUGAACGAGCUGCCUUCAGAUUAUGCUAAGCAGCAGAAGCAGAGGUGCAUGUCGAUUUUGGGAGCAGAAGGAUUUCCCAUGUUGCUAGUGAAGUGUCUGUUUAAAGCUCUGCAGCAUCGGUGAAGAAACUGCAUCCCGGUGUUAGACAAUCCUAAGGGACAGAAGAAAGAAAACCAGAAAGAGAGAAAGUUUUGUUCAGUGAAGGAGCAUGUGCGUGACACAUAUGCAAUCCCGUUACUGGGCUGGCUUUACCUCACACAUAGCACCCAUCUGAAACACGACCUGAAACAUGAAGUAGAGAGAAGUAGAAAACAGAAGUAGGAAAGGAAAACAAAAAGCGGAAGUAGGAGGAAAUAAGCAGAAAUAAUCAUGUGAACUGCAGCUUUGCAGCCAAAUGAGGUUUCUUGUCUUCAGCUCAGGAAUCCAGGUGAAUAUCAGCCAUUUCAUAUCAGCCAUUUCAUUUGGUCCACUCUGCUCUUCUGAGUUCUACCAGUGGAUGUUCAGUAAGGUUAACUGGCACCUGAAGGUAUGGCAAAUGUUUUACUGCUUUGGUUGCAUGGAAAACUAUACAAACCAUGGGCUAGAAAUGUCUGGGAGCAGACAGGUGGAAAAAGCAAAAAGAAGAAUUUGUUGAAAGUGGAGCAUAUGCUGAUUAGCACGAAGAAGAAGGCAGUGGAAAUAGUUACCUACCCAAAUAUUCAAUGUCACAUUGUUAUGGUACUAUCUUGUGAUAGCUAGAAUUUCUCAGCGGGGUGCAUCACGGUGGAGUGUCUAUAUCUGAGAAGGUCACAUUUCCCAUUCAUGCUGUGGAAGAAUGUUCAGAAAUGCCCACAUUAGAGGAAUACAAACGUUUCGGGAGUGCGCAACAGAUGCCUGCUCAGAAAUGCUAACGCAUGUGCAGAAAUGUUGCCCUGACGUGCUAGAAUUGGGAACAGUGUUGCAGGAGGCUAUGAUUGCACAAGACAACUGCACUGAAAAGCACUGUGGCAACCUGGUUUUGUGUGCUGAGUGGGAGUGUGUCUCUGCUAACAAACCCUCCCUGGAGAACUGAAUCCUAAAUGUGUUUCUGUGCUUAUCCUCCCACUGCCUCUCUGAACAGUUACAGGUUUCAAUUCGUUCAUCCUCUCCUUUUGUCUACUGAUCCACAUCCGUCCCAGUGAGCAGUUGCCAUUUGUUACUACAUAAUUUUGUGUCACACAGACUGUGAUAGUAAUUACAGUCCCUGCCUGGGAGAUUUGGGUGUAAGAGACGGUUUGUUUGCCGGAGUGAUCAUCAGGUGAUUGUUUUGGUGCAAUGUAUUUAUCAGCUCCAAAAAGCUGCACUGAAGGGAAAUGAAAACUCCACAGACCCGAGACAAAUGGUAUUACCUUCCUUCAGUGGGCCAAGGAAAGCAGGUUCAUCUUAAUUAUUUAUGAUGGAAUGUAUGGAAUGCCUCUCUGGUGAUGAUAGGCGUCUCAUUUGCACAGGCAGCAUCGCAUACAGUUUCAUUAGCAGCCACACGGUGCUGUGUUCACUUACACCAUGUCAGCUUUAAAAGCUCAGUGAUUUUCAGGUAACUUUCUGUAAGGGUGAUUUCAAAUAACCUGAAUAUUUAGCGCUUCUGCAUGUUUGUCAAAAGGAAGCUAAGCCAUAUGGAAUGUCUUACAUGUGUCCAUUUGGUAAACAAACUGUGGUAAAAAAAAUAGAUAAAACCAAAACAAAGCAGAUAAAACAUUUCUGAGACAGAGCAAUUAAAAUGGUAAGGGGGUGCCCAGAGAUGUGGUGGAUGCCCCAUCCCUGGAGGUGCUCAAGGCCAGGUUGGAUGGGGCCUUGGGCAGCCUGAGCUGGUGGGGGCAGCCGCAGGAGGUUGGGGCUGCGAGGGCUUUUAGGGUUCUUUUCAACCCAACCAUUCUGUGUGUCUGUGAUUCUUAAGCUAUUAGAAAGUUUCCUGGUGUGCUGGAAAGGUGCUGCCAUGUCAGCAUAAUGUCCAAGUACUGUAUAAAUGCACAUUGGAAAAUAUCCCCAUGAAUUAUUAGGUGUUGGAAGUUACUUGAUAGAGAUUUCUGUUGGCUUUUUUUUAGUACCACAAAACCCUGGUAAUUCUUCUCCCUUUGGGGAGACUUGUGCCGAGGUUCCUGUGCAAAACCAGCACAGCUGUAGGAAUUUUGAAAGCCGCUUGCUAUCAUCUCAUCAGACAGACUCCUGGCAUGGAUGAAUUAGCACAGCUGCCAUCUAAGAUGUGAUCUAGUUCAUAUGGGCGUCAAAAAAGAACAGCUUCAGUUUGUUAACACUUUCCAUGAACAAGUGACUAAAAAGAAAUAAUGUUGUUUAAACAGUUAGUUUCCCGAGUUUUGACAUUUAUAAAGCAAUUCACUUUUUUUAUUAUUGUUCUUCUAUUCUUGCUCUGUGUUAACUCGAUUCCACCUUAAUGAUUUGUUUGUUUUAUCUAGUCUUCAACAACUCUGCUGGAUGCUUCUUUUCUGUUUAGAAAAGGGAUUCCAUACUGCAUCAACCCUGUGAUCCUGCUGCUUGUGUGCUACUUGUGAGCGGGGAUAUAAACAUGCUUUCAACCCAGCAUUUUAUUUGCAAGGAAACUGGGCCAAAUUCCUCCUUUGUGAACUGAAAAAAUCUCUCUAGAUUGUACGUGUCCAACCCAUUAGUUUUAUGUUUUUUUAUGCUUUAAUAAAAAGUAUAU